rnacentral:rRNA from 1 species
UAAUACAUCGGAACGUACCUCGUAGUGGGGGAUAACUCGGCGAAAGCCGUGCUAAUACCGCAUAUGCUCUACGGAGGAAAGCAGGGGACCUGAGAGGGCCUUGUGCUAUGGGAGCGGCCGAUGUCCGAUUAGCUAGUUGGUGGGGUAAGAGCCUACCAAGGCCACGAUCGGGAGCUGGUCUGAGAGGACGAUCAGCCACACUGGGAUUGAGAACGGCCCAG